GAGAUACCCUUAUGGGCAGGACUUCCUUCAGUGGGGCUCUGGCGCUCACUAAGCCUGCACCCUGAGUGUGUCUCU
rnacentral:pre_miRNA from 1 species